AUUGCAGUAUUUUGGAUGGGCUGUUACCACUAAAUAGAAUACUGGCAGAUAGCAAGAGAUUACCCAAUGGCAUCUGACUAUGAUGACCACCACAGUGUCGACACUGAGAGAACAACUUUCUUAGACAGCUGUCAAAAACUAUAUAUUUUUUUUGAGUAACAUCAUUUUCCCUAUAACAUGGAAAAAUUACUUAUUUUUUAUAUGAAUGUUAUCUUGCUCUGUAAAAUACUUGAAAUGAA